rnacentral:rRNA from 1 species
UACGGAGGGCGCUAGCGUUGUUCGGAAUUACUGGGCGUAAAGCGCGCGUAGGCGGCUUUGUAAGCUAGAGGUGAAAGCCCGGGGCUCAACCCCGGAAUUGCCUUUAAGACUGCAUCGCUUGAAUCCGGGAGAGGUGAGUGGAAUUCCGAGUGUAGAGGUGAAAUUCGUAGAUAUUCGGAAGAACACCAGUGGCGAAGGCGGCUCACUGGACCGGCAUUGACGCUGAGGUGCGAAAGCGUGGGGAGCAAACAGG